AUUAUUCACAUAUUUUUCCAGUACAUAAUUCUUUAUAUCAUUAUUAUUGGAACAUGCAGUCGAGUAUAAUAUUGCCUCUUAAUGACGAUAAUAAAACAGAAAUAAUACUCAAUACCAAUCUUCUUGUUAAAAACAGCAAGCAAAAAGAUUUAGCUAUUUUCAGCGAUCAAUUUCAUCUUGAAAUGUAGGUCAUCUAUGUAGGUCACGCAGGGUGCGUGUAUGUGUUGCCUUCCUUCCCUUUCAGCUUGCUGCCGUUAGGCUCUAAAUAGCAUACAGUUCCGAAAAUUAUUGGGGAUAUCAUUUAGUGUGCUUUUUUUCUUACAAACAUUGACACAACAAAAGUGUAAAAGUGUUUCUUACAAACAUUUUUACACAAAAUUUUUUAUAAUUUUCAGUUUCCUUCAUAAUUAGAUUUAAAAAAAAAUCUAGAUCUUGAAUUUUGAAUUUCAUGUUAUUUUUUUAAAGAGUAUACACAUAUACUUCAAGUUGCUCGAGAAGUUUUAGCAGACAAAAGCAAGCGUGUAAAAUCUGGAAUAUCUGUAGGUAUCUGUAGGUAUCUGAGGGCAACAGCUUCGAUCUCAAAAUCGCAGCUUGUGAAUAAAUAAUCGACGAACUAUACGAGCGUGACGGCAGCUCAUUUCAUCGCGGUCACGUGGCGCUAUGCAAAAAUAAAAUUUAAGAGCAUUGUGCUUGUAGAGGCGGACCGCGCAUGCUCGCGAUACGAUAGCUAGCGGGCGCAAACCGAUCGAAUUGGAAUUCUCUUUUAUACGUAUGUAUCUAUAGCGUGAUCUUUGCGAAUAAAUGGCAUAUUGCCAAUGCAAAUAUUGCAGCUAUUGAAAUAAGAUAGACGGUAUCGACCUAUUUCAAUAAUGUGGUUAAAAUCACAUCCUAAUACAUCUGUGCUAAAACAGGUAUAGCCAUUGGUCCAUCGACCAUUGAGUACUCUGACCUCGUUAUUUUCCAGGCAUAGGAUAACUGUCGCACGCGCUUGGCAGUUAUCACGAUUACGAGGAUCUUCGGCAAUCGAAUGACAUAGUUGCUAUUUCGAGAAAAAUUGUCAGCGUUAAAACAUUAAUAUCUUCUCACUUCGGCCUGAAAAUAGACUCGUGCCCGACGAAACUCGCGCGAAAGUUGUCGCACUACAUUCUCAUUAAGAAGCAACAAGAGGUGUGCCAUGUUAUAGGACGGCAAUUGAUGAAUCGGACGAAGGAUGAAGAUCAACCAAAACUAUGAGGAUGCUCGUCGAUACUGAAGGGAAAAACGGACCUGCCACGUGUAUCCAACGUAUCCGGUUGACUGGAUCAGUUUUUGUCAGCUUCGCGAGUCCAUUGACUUCCGCCGCAAGAUACGUCGAGCCCAGGCUCGAAAUCGCGUUCAUCACGUCCUAACGUUUGUUUUCUUUUAGUUUACGCGACACUGAUCCACACCAUGCACACGUUUUACGUGGUAGAGAUGCAUCGAAAUGGCAGCGUACGUGAUUCAGACACUUAACGAAGGCUUGAGGAACAAAGCUUUUUGUUGCAAUGACUGAUGACUUGUAAGCACUUCUCUGCAAUUGCUAAUUGAAGGUUUGAACGAAUCUAUUUCAUGAUGUACCCAUACAUAUUUUCUAUUGAGUGAGAAAAUAAGUGUAUAUCCUGUGUCUUCUGAAAACCGGGGAUGAUGUGUCGGUUCGUAGAUAAUUCGAUCUUUGGAUCAAUGCCGAAACGUAAAUGU